rnacentral:rRNA from 1 species
CACGUAGGGCGCGAGCGUUGUCCGGAAUUAUUGGGCGUAAAGAGCUCGUAGGCGGCCUGUUGCGUCCGCUGUGAAAGCCCGGGGCUUAACCCCGGGUCUGCAGUGGAUACGGGCAGGCUAGAGGUAGGUAGGGGAGAAUGGAAUUCCCGGUGUAGCGGUGAAAUGCGCAGAUAUCGGGAGGAACACCGGUGGCGAAGGCGGGUCUCUGGGCCGAUACUGACGCUGAGGAGCGAAAGCAUGGGUAGCGAACAGG